rnacentral:lncRNA from 1 species
AUUUUCGGGAAUUUUAAUGUGAAAAUUUUAUUUUAUUGGGUUAUUGAAAAUGUUGGAAUUGUUGAAAUUAUUAAAGAAUUUUGGAGUUUGUGGCAUUCAUUUGCAUCAUGGUUGUAUGAAAAAAAAAAUUGUGAAAAGUGUAUGAAAUGGAAAAAUAAAAAAAAUAGUGAUGAAAAGUGAAAGCCCGUGUGAGGCGAACUAAGAAGGGAGAGAGAUCCCUAGGGUGAAAGACCCAAAAGUU